rnacentral:rRNA from 1 species
AACGAACGCUGGCGGCGCGUCUUAAACAUGCAAGUCGAACGGCAGGAAGGGGCUUGCCCCUUCUGAGAGUGGCGGACUGGUGAGUAACACGUGGGUGACAUACCUUUUAGUUGGGGAUAGCUAUUAGAAAUAGUAGGUAAUACCGAAUGUGACCGUACCUGUUAGAGGGGUACGAGGAAAGGAGCUAAGGCUUCGCUAAAAGAAUGGCUCGCGGCCCAUUAUGCUCGUUGGUGAGGUAACGGCCCACCAAGGCGAUGAUGGGUAUCCGGCCUGAGAGGGUGAUCGGACACAUUGGGACUGAGAUACGGCCCAGACUUCUACGGGAGGCAGCAGUUAAGAAUAUUCCGCAAUGGACGAAAGUCUGACGGAGCGGCGCCGCGUGGAUGAAGAAUGCCGAAAGGUUGUAAAAUCCUUUUAAGCCUGAUGAAUAAGCACAGUAGGGAAUGAUUGUGCGGUGACCGUAGGGCUUGAAUAAGCACCGGCUAAUUACGUG